rnacentral:rRNA from 1 species
GGUCAAGCGAAUAAGCAUGUGGUGGAUGCCUUGGCGAUCACAGGCGAUGAAGGACGUAGUAGCUUGCGAAAAGCUGCGGGGAGCUGGCAAACGAGCUUUGAUCCGCAGAUGUCCGAAUGGGGAAACCCGGCCCGUAUGGGUCAUCCCUUGCUGAAUACAUAGGCAAGGGAGGCGAACGCAGUGAACUGAAACAUCUAAGUAGCUGCAGGAAAAGAAAUCAACCGAGAUUCCCAAAGUAGUGGCGAGCGAAAUGGGAACAGCCUUGUACUCUUUAGCAGUAUUGUUAGCGGAACGGAAUGGAAAGUCCGGCCAUAGUGGGUGAUAGCCCCGUACGCGAAAACAGUAUUGUGAAACUAGGUGUACGACAAGUAGGGCGGGACACGUGAAAUCCUGUCUGAAGAUGGGGGGACCAUCCUCCAAGGCUAAAUACUCGUGAUCGACCGAUAGUGAACCAGUACCGUGAGGGAAAGGCGAAAAGAACCCCGGGAGGGGAGUGAAAUAGAUCCUGAAACCGCAUGCAUACAAACAGUCGGAGCCUGGAAACGGGUGACGGCGUACCUUUUGUAUAAUGGGUCAGCGACUUACAUUCAGUGGCAAGCUUAACCGAUUAGGGAAGGCGUAGCGAAAGCGAGUCCGAAUAGGGCGUUCAGUCGCUGGGUGUAGACCCGAAACCAAGUGAUCUAUCCAUGGCCAGGUUGAAGGUGCGGUAACACGUACUGGAGGACCGAACCCACUAACGUUGAAAAGUUAGGGGAUGAGCUGUGGAUAGGGGUGAAAGGCUAAACAAACUUGGAAAUAGCUGGUUCUCUCCGAAAACUAUUUAGGUAGUGCCUCGUGUCUCACCUUCGGGGGUAGAGCACUGUCAUGGUUGGGGGGUCUAUUGCUGAUUACCCCGCCAUAGCAAACUCCGAAUACCGAAGAGUGCAAUCACGGGAGACAGACAUCGGGUGCUAACGUCCGGUGUCAAGAGGGAAACAACCCAGACCGCCAGCUAAGGUCCCUAAGAUUGGCUAAGUGGGAAACGAAGUGGGAAGGCUAAAACAGUCAGGAGGUUGGCUUAGAAGCAGCCACCCUUUAAAGAAAGCGUAAUAGCUCACUGAUCGAGUCGUCCUGCGCGGAAGAUGUAACGGGGCUAAGCCAGUCACCGAAGCUGCGGAUGCACGUAAGUGCAUGGUAGGAGAGCGUUCUGUAAGCCUGUGAAGGUGUCUUGUAAAGGAUGCUGGAGGUAUCAGAAGUGCGAAUGCUGACAUGAGUAGCGAUAAAGGGGGUGAAAGGCCCCCUCGCCGUAAGCCCAAGGUUUCCUACGCAACGUUCAUCGGCGUAGGGUGAGUCGGCCCCUAAGGCGAGGCAGAGAUGCGUAGCUGAUGGGAAGCAGGUUAAUAUUCCUGCACCGUCGUAUGAUGCGAUGGGGGGACGGAUCGCGGAAGGUUGUCCGGGUGUUGGAAGUCCCGGUCCCUACAUUGGAGAUGGCACUUAGGCAAAUCCGGGUGCGUGAUUCAAGGGUGUGGGGCGAGCGACGUUAGGUCGCGAAGCAAUUGGAAGUGGUUCCAAGAAAAGCCUCUAAGCUUCAGUCAUACGAGACCGUACCGCAAACCGACACAGGUGGGCGAGAUGAGUAUUCUAAGGCGCUUGAGAGAACUCGGGAGAAGGAACUCGGCAAAUUGGUACCGUAACUUCGGGAUAAGGUACGCCCUUGUAGUUUGACUGGCUCGCGCCAGAAGGAUGAAGGGGUUGCAAUAAAAUGGUGGCUGCGACUGUUUAAUAAAAACACAGCACUCUGCAAACACGAAAGUGGACGUAUAGGGUGUGACGCCUGCCCGGUGCCGGAAGAUUAAAUGAUGGGGUGCAAGCUCUUGAUUGAAGUCCCGGUAAACGGCGGCCGUAACUAUAACGGUCCUAAGGUAGCGAAAUUCCUUGUCGGGUAAGUUCCGACCUGCACGAAUGGCGUAACGAUGGCCACACUGUCUCCUCCCGAGACUCAGCGAAGUUGAAGUGUUUGUGAUGAUGCAAUCUCCCCGCGGCUAGACGGAAAGACCCCAUGAACCUUUACUGUAGCUUUGCAUUGGACUUUGAACCGAUCUGUGUAGGAUAGGUGGGAGGCUUUGAAACCGGGACGCUAGUUUCGGUGGAGCCGACCUUGAAAUACCACCCUGGUUUGUUUGAGGUUCUAACCUUGGCCCGUGAAUCCGGGUCGGGGACAGUGCAUGGUAGGCAGUUUGACUGGGGCGGUCUCCUCCCAAAGUGUAACGGAGGAGUUCGAAGGUACGCUUGGUACGGUCGGACAUCGUACCUAAAGUGCAAUGGCAAAAGCGUGCUUAACUGCGAGACCGACAAGUCGAGCAGGUGCGAAAGCAGGACAUAGUGAUCCGGUGGUUCUGUAUGGAAGGGCCAUCGCUCAACGGAUAAAAGGUACUCUGGGGAUAACAGGCUGAUACCGCCCAAGAGUUCAUAUCGACGGCGGUGUUUGGCACCUCGAUGUCGGCUCAUCUCAUCCUGGGGCUGUAGCCGGUCCCAAGGGUAUGGCUGUUCGCCAUUUAAAGAGGUACGUGAGCUGGGUUUAAAACGUCGUGAGACAGUUUGGUCCCUAUCUGCCGUGGGCGUUGGAAUCUUGACGGGGGCUGCUCCUAGUACGAGAGGACCGGAGUGGACGUACCGCUGGUGUACCUGUUGUCUCGCCAGAGGCAUCGCAGGGUAGCUAUGUACGGAAGAGAUAACCGCUGAAAGCAUCUAAGCGGGAAACUCGCCUGAAGAUGAGGAUUCCCUGGAGACUUGAUCUCCCUGAAGGGUCGUUCGAGACCAGGACGUUGAUAGGCUGGGUGUGGAAGCGCAGUAAUGCGUUCAGCUAACCAGUACUAAUUGCCCGUGCGGCUUGAUCCU